rnacentral:rRNA from 1 species
GUAGUCAUAUGCUUGUCUCAAAGAUUAAGCCAUGCAUGUCUAAGUAUAAACAACUUUAUACUGUAAAACUGCGAACGGCUCAUUAUAUCAGCAAUAAUUUAUUUGAUGGUUUCUUACUACAUGGAUAACUGUAGUAAUUCUAGAGCUAAUACAUGCGUAAAGUCCCAACUCUCGCGGGGAGGGAUGUAUUUAUUAGAUAAAAAACCAAUGCGAGUUCUGCUCGCCUUUGUGUUGAAUCAUAGUAACUUUUCGAACGGCAUAGCCUUGUGCUGGCCGUAGAUCAUUCAAAUUUCUGCCCUAUCAGCUUUCGACGGUAGUGUAGUGGACUACCGUGGCGUCAACGGGUAACGGGGAAU